GCACUUGUAACUUAACUGGAAAAGUAUAGGCCUUCUAAGCUUAGCAAUAAUGGUUCGAAUCCGUUCGAGUGUU
rnacentral:tRNA from 1 species